GUCCUAAGGUGACUUUCGUUGCCCCCUUCUCUAGCGAUGGAGAAGGUGCAUCCGGCUAUAUGCUGGAAUAUCUGAGUAUCCGGCGCUACUAGCGUUUUUAACGCAGUAACAAUGCGGUCGGUGCAGACAACCAGCAGGAAAGGCCAGCACAAGUUGGCUUCCUCAGAGACUAUACGCCGGACAUCUGGUAUAGUCAUCAGAUGAAGAUAUAGUCCGUACCCUAUGGCGACAUAGGG
rnacentral:ncRNA from 1 species